CGCUAUUAUUAGAACAGUUUCUCUAUAUUG
rnacentral:misc_RNA from 1 species